rnacentral:rRNA from 1 species
AGACCCGAAACCCGGUGAUCUAGCCAUGGGCAGGUUGAAGGUUGGGUAACACUAACUGGAGGACCGAACCGACUAAUGUUGAAAAAUUAGCGGAUGACCUGUGGCUGGGGGUGAAAGGCCAAUCAAACCGGGAGAUAGCUGGUUCUCCCCGAAAGCUAUUUAGGUAGCGCCUCGUGAAUUCAUCUCCGGGGGUAGAGCACUGUUUCGGCUAGGGGGCCAUCCCGGCUUACCAACCCGAUGCAAACUGCGAAUACCGGAGAAUGUUAUCACGGGAGACACACGGCGGGUGCUAACGUCCGUCGUGAAGAGGGAAACAACCCAGACCGCCAGCUAAGGUCCCAAAGUCAUGGUUAAGUGGGAAACGAUGUGGGAAGGCCCAGACAGCCAGGAUGUUGGCUUAGAAGCAGCCAUCAUUUAAAGAAAGCGUAAUAGCUCACUGGUCGAGUCGGCCUGCGCGGAAGAUGUAACGGGGCUAAACCAUGCACCGAAGCUGCGGCAGCGAACGUAUCACUUAAAGCGAUUCAGCGGGUUACGAUUGACGGAGCGAAGCGACGUCAAAGCGUAUACAAAGUCGAGUCGGUUUAAGGAUACGUUCGUUGGGUAGGGGAGCGUUCUGUAAGCCUGCGAAGGUGGCCUGUGAGGGUUGCUGGAGGUAUCAGAAGUGCGAAU